GGAGGGAACGGGGGAACUGAAACAUCUAAGUACCCCGAGGAGAAGAAAGAAAAAUCGAUUUCCUAAGUAGCGGCGAGCGAACGGGAAAGAGCCCAAACCAGUACUUGUACUGGGGUUAAGGACCAGCGUAACGGAUAGGUAUCCUAGUAGAAGAGGAUUGGAAAAUCCCACCAUAGACGGUGAUAGUCCAGUAUACGAAAGGAGAAGACUCCAGCUGGUAUCCAGAGUACCACGGGACACGUGAAAUCCUGUGUGAAUCAGGGGGGACCAUCCCCCAAGGCUAAAUACUCCUGAGUGACCGAUAGUGAACCAGUACCGUGAGGGAAAGGUGAAAAGAACCCCGGGAGGGGAGUGAAAUAGAACCUGAAACCUUGUGCUUACAAGCGGUCAGAGCUCUUCGGAGUGAUGGCGUGCCUUUUGUAGAAUGGUCCUGCGAGUUACUUCAAUGCAGCGAGGUUAAGUGCUUAAAGUCACGGAGCCGAAGGGAAACCAAGUCUUAAUAGGGCGUAAAGUUAGUAUGUAGUAGACCCGAAACCGGGUGACCUAUCCAUGUCCAGGUUGAAGUUGCCGUAAAAGGCAAUGGAGGACCGAACGCACAUCCGUUGAAAAAGGUGGCGAUGACCUGUGGAUAGGGGAGAAAUUCCAAUCGAACUCGGAGAUAGCUGGUUCUCCUCGAAAUAGCUUUAGGGCUAGCCUCGAGAUGGAGUCUAAUGGAGGUAGAGCACUGAAUGGUCUAGGGGCGCAUAGCGUUACCAAAACCUAUCAAACUCCGAAUGCCGUCAAGAUAGCAUCGGGAGACACACGGCGGGUGCUAACGUCCGUCGUGAAAAGGGAAACAACCCAGACCGCCAGCUAAGGUCCCAAAGUUGUGGUUAAGUGGUAAACGAUGUGGGAAGGCUUAGACAGCUAGGAGGUUGGCUUAGAAGCAGCCAUCCUUUAAAGAAAGCGUAAUAGCUCACUAGUCGAGUCGGCCUGCGCGGAAGAUGUAACGGGGCUCAAACCACACACCGAAGCUGCGGGUGUCACGUAAGUGACGCGGUAGAGGAGCGUUCUGUAAGGAAGAAGCCUAAGCGAGAACGAAGGUGGACGAAACAGAAGAGAGAAUGCCGGAAUGAGUAGCGAGAUGGAGGUGAGAAUCCUCCAGGCCGAAUAUCUAAGGUUUCCAGAGUAAAGCUGAUCUGCUCUGGGUAAGUCGGGGCCUAAGGCGAGGGCUGAAAGGCGUAGUCGAUGGACAACAGGUUGAGAUUCCUGUACUGCGUAUCAUCAGAACUGUGGGGACACAGAAGGACAGCAAAACCCGGGAAUGGAAAUACCGGGGCAAGCGAGGUAAGGGAGUAGGCAAAUCCGUCUCUACAGGAUGAAGUGCGACGCGUACCGAACAAAAGUAGCGAAGUUGCUGACUCCACACUGUCAAGAAAAGCUUCUAUUGAGUAAUACGUACCCGUACCGCAAACCGACACAGGUAGAUGAGGAGAGAAUCCUAAGGCCGACGGGAGAAGCAUUGUUAAGGAACUCGGCAAAAUGACCCCGUAACUUCGGGAGAAGGGGUGCCACGCAAGUGGCCGCAGAGAAUAGGCUCAAGCGACUGUUUACCAAAAACACAGGUCUCUGCUAAACCGAAAGGUGACGUAUAGGGGCUGACGCCUGCCCGGUGCUGGAAGGUUAAAUGGAGGGGUUAGACGCAAGCGAAGCUUUGAAUCGAAGCCCCAGUAAACGGCGGCCGUAACUAUAACGGUCCUAAGGUAGCGAAAUUCCUUGUCGGGUAAGUUCCGACCUGCACGAAUGGCGUAACGAUUUGGGCACUGUCUCAACAACAGACUCGGUGAAAUUGUAGUACCGGUGAAGAUGCCGGUUACCCGCGACAGGACGGAAAGACCCCAUGGAGCUUUACUGCAGCUUGAUACUGGGAUUCGGUGAUAUGAUGUACAGGAUAGGUGGGAGACUAGGAAGCCGGGCGCCAGUUUCGGUGGAGUCGACCUUGGGAUACCACCCUUAUGUUAUUGGAUUUCUAACCUGGCACCGUGAUCCGGUGUGAGGACAGUGUCAGGUGGGCAGUUUGACUGGGGCGGUCGCCUCCUAAAAGAGUAACGGAGGCGCUCGAAGGUCGCUCAGACCGGUCGGAAAUCGGUCGCAGAGUAUAAAGGCAAAAGCGCGCUUGACUGCGAGACAGACACGUCGAGCAGGUACGAAAGUAGGUCUUAGUGAUCCGGUGGUUCUGUAUGGAAGGGCCAUCGCUCAACGGAUAAAAG
rnacentral:rRNA from 1 species